CCCCCCCCCCCAUGUGUCCUUCCUUACCAUUUCCACUGCACGGGGAUCCAGCUGGCUGGGCGGCGCAGGACAACCAGUGAAACCCAAAAACCUCUUUCAGUAUUGUCUAUUACCUGAAGUGGCAAUAAAUUGAGGAAUGCUAGCAAAAGUGAGCAAAAUAUCUGCUGAAGGAAGUGAUGGAAGCCUCGUGCACUGCAGUAACGUCUUGCAAGAUUCAAAUCUCCAAGUCAUUCUACAAUCAUUAAAAAUGGUUUAUUCUUCAGAAUAACUUUUGUUUUCUGAAAAUAAUCUACAUUUUGAGAACAUCGAUUCUGCAAACCAGUCAGACUGCCACGGUAUUCGGGACUGCUGAGUUUCCUGGGAACCCAGAACAGAAAAGAAACAGGCACAAAUGAUUUAUGGUGGUUUUCAACUAUAACGACCUGAUGGUCUCAAAUAUUAUGUGAUCCACCAAAAGCAAUGCAUUAUUCCCCCCAAAAUAUAUAACAAUUAUGAAUUUAUUAUGGGACCUGAGAGAAACCUCAACAUGCUCAAAAUGAGCUUGAAGACCCAGAUUGUUCGGGGCAAUAUGCUGACUAUGUAAACUGCUUAGAGAAGGCUGUAAAGCACUGGGAAGCAGUAUAUAAGUCUAUGUGUUGUUGCUAUUUACACUGAGAUGUAUAGAAAUGUUGGGUGUCAGGUUUUUUAAGAAAUCAACUUCUUAAUUCUCUUGAGUGGAUAAUAAUGGUACAGCUGUUAUAAUAUGCAGAAAUGGACUGGACUUCUAUUAAAGCCAGAAUACAAAAGUUAUUUAUUUUUUUAAAUCAAGUUUUAACUUGGAAGGAAGUUAGAUAACUUCAGUGACUAGGAACAGAUGCAAGAUUGGAAUCAGCAAAGGGAAAAGCAAGAGGAGAAAUGCACUAUGGAUUUCUGCUGACCCAAGGAUGUACUGUGACUUUAUAGUGGCAAAAUAUUCUCAGCAUAAUUCAGGCUUUUGUUUAAUUUUUUUAUUCAAAUGUCAAAUUCCACUAAUUGGGAGCAGAGUUGAAACAAAUGGUAUCAAACUGAGCUGUUGAAUUCCAAGUGGCCAUUAAAUGGCAACAAGGUCUGAUUUUGUUACGUCUCUUGCCCUAUCCAGCAAUCAUCCAGAUAUUUACAACCCACAUCUGUGUAGCCCUAAGAUGGCAGAAAGAAGGAACCAGCUGCAGUGAACACAUGGAUCAGGACAAAAGUUUGACAAAAAUGAGGUUACAGUCCUACCUGCUUGUCUCAGCAACCUAGUUAUUCAAAUAAUUAGCAGCAAAAAGAUUUAAAUGGAACAAAUGUGGCAAAAGCAAGCAAAGAAAGUACCAAUGGUAAUAGGUGCCUUGGAUACAGUCCCAAAAUAAUGAGAGCACUUGGACACUAUCGGCAUUGACAAAUUCACCAGCAGUCAAUUGCAAAAGGCAGCUUUACUCAGAACAAUUUACGGUACAUCCUGAGACUAUUCUGCAACACCACCAACCAUCCACAUCUGCCUACCCCAGCUCAAAGAAAGGAACCUACUGGGAGAGGAGCGAGGGAGGCCUGGAACUGCAGACAAAGCCGAUCCCAGUGCAGCGAGGAUUCCGAGAUGAGCCAGCCCUUGUCUAGAGGUCAAAGAGACCUUAUAUAAAGGUGCAUGUAUUGUUACUUAAAGGCCCCCUUUUUAAACACAAAGCUGUUCCUAGAGGACCAGUCAGAAAUGGCAAUGCAAGGACAUGUGGAAAAACAACCUCAGCACCUUUAAGAUGCAUGGACUUCAAUUUCCAGAAUUCCUCAUCAACAUCUUAAUAGUGCCAAGAAAAACACUGCUGCAAUGGAUCAAUAGCUGUGGAAGUCAGAGGUCUAUUUGGACAAAAGUCUGCAAGUCGAAGAAAGUCUUCAUCUUUCUCCUGGAUAUGCUACCUUUCUAGAUAUAGACAUUGGAAUGUUUCAUUUUGCAGAUUUCCACUUCAAACUGUAAUUCUACAAUUUUAAAAAGUCAACCAUCUUAUUGAAUGGCUUACAUGAUAUUCCACACUUUGUGGCUUC